rnacentral:lncRNA from 1 species
UGGUCUUAAGUUGAGACCAUAUACUCUGUGCAGUAUCAGCAUACUGCACAGAUUCAGCAAUAGAAGGGGAGAGGGAAGCAAUCAACCAGGAAAUCACCAUACUGUUGCACCUAUCCCACAACCUUUGUUGGGCAACAUUGGUAGUAGGUCGAGUGUAGGUGCCAUCAACAAAGCUGAUUUUAUUUUUAGCCGACAAGGCAACAAGAACUUUUCGUCUCCAGCCCCCAUAACCACUACCCGAGAAUGGGAUGGGAACAAGUGGUACCCCAGGGACAUCAGAGGAGUACAGGAAAAGGGGACUAGAGGGAUCUACAGGAGUAGGAGCACCAGUACUUAUGCUAGAAGCCAUAAUGAACCGGCUUAGACAAAUAACGUGCCAACAAACAAGAUGAUGUCAGAACAAGUAUACAAACACAAUAACCAACAGAUAAACUACAGUUAGGUCAAGUAGUCACAGAUACCACCAGAUGCUCACAAUUACAAAGGCAAGUAAGCACACAUAAAAAUCGAGGAGAAGGACACAGAGUUACCCUCCUUCUUCGCAACCGGAGAAGAUCGUCCUUCAAACAAAGAGAAACCCUAGGUAUCAAACCAUAGGUCCAAUUUUUGAAAAAACAUACUUUACUGGAGAUCUGGUCAGGAACGUCGGAAACACACCCAAGGCGUCCAGAAAAUGACAAUAGAGCCACCAGAAUGCGGUAAAACCUCAGGUUAAACCGUCAGAAACCCUAGAAGCCGAUAAGUCACCAGAAUCAAC